rnacentral:misc_RNA from 1 species
UUUCAAAUAAAUUAAUAUUUAAUAAUCAAAACUUAUAGCAUGGAUUUUGAGCUACAAAUAUCAGGUCAUUUUCAUACAGAUACUGUAGCCAUACAUACAAAUAGAACUAGUCAACUUUUAAAGUGCGAUGCCCACAUAGAGGAAGGAUGAAAAGAACCUCUCCUUAGCUGGAUGAGUUUUCUCUUCGUAUUUUAUUUAUUACACGCAAAAACACACCAUCCAAGCAAACAACAUUUAAAAAAAAAAAAAAAUCAAUUAUGUACACAGUAAAGCAGAGCAGACGCACUCAACUCAUUUACGUUUCCAUGAAUCCACCAGUGUGGACAAUGCAACACGAGAUGAACCACCCUCGCUCACUGCUGCCCUGGCUCCUUUUUUCAUGGCAAUGGUUUGCUCCCUAACUGAAUUGCCUGCCUCCGAGUCCAUCAAUUCACUGACUCGCUUCUCCACCUCUAUUGCAGUUACAAACCCGUUUUCUGAUUCCUUCAUUGGCAAAGCAAUUUUAAUUUCUUCCACCAGCAACACCCUAUUGAACCUUUGCUCUGCAUACAGCGGCCAUGCCACCAUUGGCACUCCUGCACACACCGCCUCAAGCACUGAGUUCCACCCACAGUGAGUCACA